ensembl:lncRNA
GAGGAGACAACUCCUAAUAUUCACUGAGUCUAUCAGCAAGAACAUAAACUACCAAAAGCUCCAGAAUCUGGUUUUGGACUCUCAGCUUGGCAUUAACUCCCAGCUCAAGCUCAGGACUGGGGACCAAAUAUAUCAACUCAGUGUCAGCAUUAGUUGGAGACUUGAUUUUACUAAUGACCCAAAGGGGACACAGACCUCUAUAAACAUACAUCUCUGAUGCUGAGCGUGUGGUGUACGUGCACAGCUGUACGAGCAAUGGGGAGUGCAUGGCUGCAAAACUGCAUUCUGCUCUCAGGGCUUGUCCUUCCUUGGAUGAGGUCCGAAGAUGGGAUGACAACAAGUGGGCUGCUGUUACCCAUAUCCACAUCCCAGCUGCCAGCACUCCAUGCCCUUUGCUGCUUGUGCAAAGGAUCUGCUAGCAGAGCAGCGAGCCCAGUGUGCCAUGCACAGCCAGGAGCCAAGAGGCUGCCUGCAGGAAUACACAUCCCGUUGGUCCAGAAGCCAUCUUUGUGUGCUUUCUUCUAUUAGCAAUUCCUCCUCCCUGUCCUCUCAUCUCAGCAGCUGACGUUUCCUAGGAAAGCUGACUUUGAACAUCACCGAUACCUAUAAGCAAGAGGAAGGGCAGCAGCAAUGCAGAAGAAAAUUGGGUCAUUUGAAUGCCCUGAUGAAAACCAACAGGGACAGCGCACGGAGUGACACGGGCUGCCUGUGAAUCCAGGACACUGCGUCCUGCUCUGCCUUUGCACACGGCCGUCCUUCUACCAGGGAAGGCUGGAGGAGAGAGGGCUCAAUCAAGUUACUGAAUAACUGAGAAAAUUUGGCUGGUUUCAGAGGUUCUGUGGCUGAAAUGGAGUGUCAUUAGGAUUUGAAAUGUUCUGGUAAAAUGGCUGUUAUCAGAAUUUAUCAUUUGUUGCCCUGCUUGGGAGUUAGGCCUGUGCACUGCCCUCAGGUUGUUGUUAUUUAAGAAGAUGACCCAUGAGAAGUUUAUUUAAGGACACAGAGGGUGGGACAGGCAGAGUGAAGAGCAGGAGGAGAUGCUUCCAUGGCUGUCACAGGGCUGCAGCCCCCGGUGUUCAUCCAGCCCAGUCCUGAAGACAUCAAAUGCAUUGCACAGGGAGUGUUAUGUACUCUCUGCGGCUCAGCAUAGGAUAUCGUGCACGUUUUUACAACAGGAGCAGCAUCAGCAAACCACAAAUGACUCUGGGGGCCGGCUGCUGGCAGGGGCACCUUUGAGAGCAUUUUGCAGUGCCACCAUUUCAGCUCUGGAAGUGGUGCUGCAGAAUGCCUCCACCGCACAACUGGAGCAGAGUGAAUUAUUUACAACAAAUGAGGCAUCUGACAAAUCUGGCCUCGUUCUUUGCUUGCAGAAUGCCCUCCAGCAGACCGCUGCUUCCUCAAAAAGAAGUCCCUCUUCAGUCAGCUUCCAGAAUCCACCCCAGCCCCUCUGCUGCACUCAGGCCAGGCGGUGGGUCUGGCAAUGCACAGUGCAUGCAAAGCUCCUUCCUGCACAACUCAGUACGCUUCAUCUGGUGUGCAACCACUUGCACAUAACAAGGCAGAGCUCACUUUCCCUGUGUAAUUAGUCUGGAAUCUGGUACCAAUAUCUUAAUUAGGCCUGACCUCUGGAGUAUUUGACAUAACAUCGUUUGCCAACUCCGAAAUAUGGCUACAUCCACAGUGCAAAUAACGGUCCUCCCAGCAGCUGUGGGCUCUGUAUUUGACUUGUGUCAAUGCUGCUCUGCUAUAGCAGCUGAUGCAAACAUCCCUGGGAUGCUCCUGCAGACCCAACUGCAGCUCCCCCCCCGCCCCUCCUCACCUCUCUACCUCAAGUACGCCCUGCCAGGGCCAAAGCUGCGGUUUCACUCACUUAAGAUAACCUAAUUAGUUAAAUUAGGCUGAAGGCAGCAGUGUGUGACUCACUCUGGGCUGGUCACCUAAUUUUGUUGCCAGCAGUUUUCAAGGGAAACUCCCCCAGUCCGUGCUCCUGCCAGCCUGGAUGCAUCUGCAGGGCUGCAGCCACACCUUGGUCUCUCAGAAAGGACCAAAAGCAGCAGCAGAGGAACGGCCCGGAUCAUAUGUGUGGGUCACACAAAACAUUGUCACAUUCAGAGGCACAAAGCACUCCGUCAGAGAGCGGCAGUGAGCACUGCAUGCAGGGCAGUACUGCUGAGCAGUGUGCAGGGCUGCUCCCUGAAGCACAGUGUGAUUUUCCUCCAAGAAAAGCAUCCCAUACAUUAUGCAAACCAUUUGCUGGUGGUUGUUUUCUUGUGUUGUUGUUGUUGUUUUUUUUCUAAUACUACAGAGUAGGAAGAAUGAAAGAAUGAAACAUGUCAGAUGUCCAUCACGACACAAAGCACUGCUGGAAGGAAUACGGAUAACACAGCAAGGAAAGUAAUAUAGAAG